AUGAAAAUGCAUAUUCUUGGACAUAACCCCGCCGUUUGGGCUAUUGUGUGUGUUGGUUUGCAAGGUGACUUCUUUGAUGGGAGAGAACCAAACCAUGAAGCUACCACGGAUGAGUUGAAGAUGUUGCAAUACAAUGCUCAAGCUUGUGAUAUUCUCUUCAACGGAUUGUGCCCCGAAGAAUUCAACAAAAUCAGCCGUCUUGAGAAUGCAAAGGAAAUUUGGGACACUUUGAUUGAUAUGCACGAAGGUACCGACUCCGUCAAGGAAUCCAAGUUGGAUGUGCUUCAAAGUCAACUCGACAAGUUCAAAAUGAAGGAUGGUGAAGGUGUCGCUGAAAUGUACUCUAGGCUUGCUCUCAUCACAAAUGAGAUUGCCGGCUUAGGAAGUGAAGAGAUGACCGAUAGAUUCAUCAUCAAGAAGAUCCUAAGAGCCUUGGAUGGAAAAUAUGAUACCGUGUGCACAUUGAUUCAAAUGAUGCCUAAUUACAAAGAUCUCAAGCCAACGGAGGUGAUUGGAAGAAUUGUUGCUCAUGAGAUGUCACUUAAGGAUAAAGAGGAACUUCACAACAAAUCAAGUGGUGCCUACAAAGCCUCAUGUGAAGCCCCUACGUCAAGUGAGAAACAAAACUUCAAUGAAGAAUUGAGCUUAAUGGUGAAGAACUUCAACAAAUUCUACAAGAGUAGAAGCAAAGAUAGAAGCUUCAAGUCAAGGUCCUACAAUGACAAAAGAUCCUCUAGUCGAGAGCGAAACUGCUACAAUUGUGAAAGACCCGGACACUAUUCCAAUGAGUGUACGACUCCCUACAAGAGAAGAGAAGAUUCUCCAAAAAGAAGAAGCAAACAAUCACCACCAAGAGAGAGAAGGAGUAGAGAUGAUCGUUAUGAACGAAGAUACUCACGGAGAAGCAAUGAUUCGGAAAGGAAGGAAAAAUCAUCAAGGAGCUACACAAAACGAAGACAUCAAGCUCAUGUUGGUGAAUGGGUAUCCAGCUCCGACUCCGACAGCCACUCCGAGAGAAGUUAUCACUCCGACUCCGAAUAUACUCAAGAUGAAGGUGUUGCCGGUCUAGCACUUGUGUCAACCAACUCCUACGACAUAUUUGACUCACCAAAUGAAGGAAUUGGAAGAUGCUUCAUGGCCAAAGGUCCUAAGGUAACACACCCCGAGUAUGUUGAUUUUAAUAGUGAUGAAGAUGACUUGUUAGGUGAUGAUGAUUUGCUUGUUGACAACUCUAGUGAUGAGUACUAUGGUGAAACAUCAAUUAAUCAUGCUAAAACGAAUGACAAUGAUAAGGAGAAGAUUGAGGCUCUAACUAAAGAACUAAACACUCUUAAGUUAGCUCAUGAAACUAUCUUCGAAGAUCAUCGAGAACUUUUAAGAGCUCAUGAGAAAUUACGCUUUGAAAAGCUUAAUCUUGAGCAAGAGCAUGAGUUCUUAAAAGCAAUCAAUGAUGAUCUCCGCCAGAAAAGUUCUUCUCACAUUGCCAAGCGUUUCCUUUUAUCCACUUACAUGCCUCAAGUCAAGUCUAGUAACAAGAACAAGAAAGAUUCUUCCUCUAGUAGUAACAAUGAUCAUGCUAAAUCCAAUAUUGUUGCUUCUAGUAGUUCUCUUGAUUCCACUAAUGAUUCUCUUAGCCAAGUUACACUUGAGCAAGAAAAUAGCUUAUUGAAGGGAAUUAUAGAGAAAGGAGUGUACAAAAGCCUUGCUGGGAGUAAGCAAUUCGAGGAAAUUGUGUGCAAGCAAGGAAUGCACCGGAAGAAUCAAGGUGUUGGUUUUGAACGAAAGUUCAAUGCCAAUGGAGUUGAGUGGAAGAAGAUCAAUACCCCAAGACAAAGUUUGUUCCUCAACAAGAGAAGUAUGAUACUUCCUUCAAGGGAACACAAGCUCAAGAUGAUCUUCCACCACAAGACUACAAGCAAAAAGGCAAGGACAAGCUUCAAGAGGAGAUUGAUGCAUUUGAAGAAGCUCCUAAGACCUUAG
rnacentral:rRNA from 1 species